rnacentral:rRNA from 1 species
UAGAGAUAGCUGGUUAUUCAGGAAAAGGAUAUUAGUCCAAUCUUAAAUCUUCUUAGAACCCUAAAUACGCCUAAAGAUUUAAAAUUUAUUCAAAUAGGGUACAGCCUAUUUGAAACAGGGUACAACCUAUCACAUUGGGUAAUGUUUUAGCUAACCUGACCAAGUAGGCUUAAAAGCAGCCAUCUUUAAAAAAGCGUUACAGCUUCAUCAUGCCUUGCUAUCAAUUUUAACCUAACCCCAAAACCCCUCACUCAUACUGAAUGACUCCAUAUUAAUAUGGAAGACCUUAUGUUAGAACUAGUAAUCAGAAUAACCAUUCUCCCAUAAAUGUAAGUGUAAGCCGGAACGAAUCUCUCACCGGCACUUACCGCCAAUGAAUCCAUAGUAACAACUUAUUACAAGAAAAUAUUACUUACUCUGACGUUAACCUUACACUAGAACUUUACUGGAAAGAUUAAAAAAGGAGGAAGGAACUCGGCAAACAUUGAUCCCGCCUGUUUACCAA